rnacentral:rRNA from 1 species
AUUGAACGCUGGCGGUAUGCUUAAGACAUGCAAGUCGAACGGUAACAGGUUAAGCUGACGAGUGGCGGACGAGUGAGUAACGCGUGGGAAUCUACCUUGUAGUGGGGGAUAAGCCAGGGAAACUUGGACUAAUACCGCAUACGCCCUAAGGGGGAAAGGCGCAAGUCGCUAUAAGAUGAGCCCGCGUCUGAUUAGGUAGUUGGUGGGGUAAAGGCCUACCAAGCCGACGAUCAGUAGCUGGUCUGAGAGGAUGAUCAGCCACACUGGGACUGAGACACGGCCCAGACUCCUACGGGAGGCAGCAGUGGGGAAUUUUGGACAAUGGGCGCAAGCCUGAUCCAGCCAUGCCGCGUGCGGGAAGAAGGCCUUCGGGUUGUAAACCGCUUAGUCCGGAAAAGGGGUAGCGAGGAUAAUACCCUCGUGCUUUGAUGGUACUGGAAGAAUAAGCACCGGCUAACUACGUGCCAGCAGCCGCGGUAAAGUACUCUAU